rnacentral:rRNA from 1 species
ACGGAGGGUGCAAGCGUUAAUCGGAAUUACUGGGCGUAAAGCGCACGCAGGCGGUUUGUUAAGUCAGAUGUGAAAUCCCCGGGCUCAACCUGGGAACUGCAUCUGAUACUGGCAAGCUUGAGUCUCGUAGAGGGGGGUAGAAUUCCAGGUGGAGCGGUGAAAGGCGUAGAGAUCUGGAGGAAGACCGGUGGCGAGGGCGGCCCCCAGGACGAAGACUGAGGCUCAGGUGCGAGAGUGUGGGGAACAAAAAG